GACUUGACCUGGGGUAUGAACACACAACAUACAGGUGAUGUAUGAUAUAACUAUACACCUGAAACUCACAUAAUUUUAUUAACCAAUGUCACCCCAAUAAGUCCAAUUAAAAAAAAAAGAGUUUAAUUAAAAAAAAAAUCAGU